GUGCAGCAGUCGCGAAAACUCCGCAAUGCACGAAAGUGCGACGGGGCUACCUCGAGUGCCGCCUGAUGAAGGCGGCUUUUCCACAGCGUAAGGAGCUGUGGGAAUAAGAGGGGGGCAAGACUGGUGUCAGCCGCCGCGGUAACACCAGCCCCUCGAGUGGUGGAGGCGAUUAUUGGGCCUAAAGCGUCCGUAGCCGGCCCGACAAGUCCUCCGUUAAAUCCAGCGAUUCAAUCGUUGGAUUGCGAGGGAUACUGUUCGGCUAGGGGGUGAGAGUGGCCAACGGUAUUCCCGGGGUAGGGGUGAAAUCCUAUAAUCCCGGGAGGACCACCAGUGGCGAAGGCUGUUGGCUAGAACACGCCCGACGGUGAGGGAUGAAAGCUGGGGGAGCGAACCGGAUUAGAUACCCGCGUAGUCC
rnacentral:rRNA from 1 species